AGUGAACGCUGGCGGUAGGCCUAACACAUGCAAGUCGAACGGCAGCACAGUAAGAGCUUGCUCUUACGGGUGGCGAGUGGCGGACGGGUGAGGAAUACAUCGGAAUCUACUUUUUCGUGGGGGAUAACGUAGGGAAACUUACGCUAAUACCGCAUACGACCUACGGGUGAAAGCAGGGGAUCUUCGGACCUUGCGCGAUUGAAUGAGCCGAUGUCGGAUUAGCUAGUUGGCGGGGUAAAGGCCCACCAAGGCGACGAUCCGUAGCUGGUCUGAGAGGAUGAUCAGGCACACUGGAACUGAGACACGGUCCAGACUCCUACGGGAGGCAGCAGUGGGGAAUAUUGGACAAUGGACGCAAGCCUGAUCCAGCCCUACCGCGUGGGUGAAGAAGGCCUUCGGGUUGUAAAGCCCUUUUGUUGGGAAAGAAAAGCAGCAGGUUAAUACCCCGCUGUUCUGACGGUACCCAAAGAAUAAGCACCGGCUAACUUCGUG
rnacentral:rRNA from 1 species